rnacentral:RNase_P_RNA from 1 species
GCGGCCGGUCAGGUGGCCGCUGGCGGCGGUUGCAGCCGGCCGCCAGAGGAAAGUCCGGGCUUCGCAGGGCAAGGUGCCGGCCAACGGCCGGCGGGGGCAACCCCAGGGAAAAGUGCCACAGAGAACAAUCUGCGCCCCUGCUCGCUGUGCGGGCCGCGGCGCGAGGGUGAAAACGUGCGGCAAGAGCGCACGGUCUGCGGCGGCGACGUCGCUUUCGGCAAACCCCACCUGAAGCAAGGUCAAAUAGCUGGCGCAGGCGCCGCGAGGCGCUCGGAGGGCGGCCCGCCCGAGUUGGUUGGUAGACCGCUAGAGCCGGCCAGCAAUGGUCGGCCCAGAGGAAUGGUCACCACCCGCUGGUCGGCGACGCUCGGCGGGAACAGAACCCGGCUUACGACCGACCGCCGCU